GACGAACCGUGCGAACGUUGUUCGGAAUCACUGGGCUUAAAGGGCGCGUAGGCGGGCUGUCAAGUCUGGGGUGAAAUCCCACGGCUCAACCGUGGGACUGCCUCGGAUACUGACGGCCUCGAGGGAGGUAGGGGCGUGCGGAACUGUGGGUGGAGCGGUGAAAUGCGUUGAUAUCCACAGGAACUCCGGUGGCGAAGGCGGCACGCUGGACCUCUUCUGACGCUGAGGCGCGAAAGCCAGGGGAGCAAACGGG
rnacentral:rRNA from 1 species